rfam:Oryza sativa Japonica Group DNA, chromosome 11, cultivar: Nipponbare, complete sequence.
AAUAGGUACAAUUUUGUACUGUUUAUAUCCAACGUUUAAUCGUUUAUCUUAUUUAAAAUUUUUUAGAUUAAUAUUAUUAUUAAAUAAUAAAACAUGAAUAUUAUUUUAUGUGCGACUAUUUUUUUUAUUUUUUCAUAAAUUAUUUAAAUGAAAUAGACAAUCAAACAUUAGACACGAUAUCUAUGGCUAGACUUAUU